rnacentral:rRNA from 1 species
GGGGAAUUUUGGAUAAUGGGCGCAAUCCUGAUCCAGCAAUGCCGCGUGCAGGAUGAAGGCCUUCGGGUUGUAAACUGCUUUUGUACGGAACGAAAAUCCUCUCUCUAAUACAGGGGGGUGAUGACGGUACCGUAAGAAUAAGCACCGGCUAACUACGUGCCAGCAGCCGCGGUAAUACGUAGGGUGCAAGCGGUAAUCGGAAUUACUGGGCGUAAAGGGAGCGUAGGCGGGAAAGCAAGUUGAAUGUUAAAUCUAUCGGCUCAACCGGUAGCGGCGUUAAAAACUGUUUUUCUUGAGUGAAGUAGAGGCAGGCGGAAUUCCUAGUGUAGCGGUGAAAUGCGUAGAUAUUAGGAGGAACACCAGUGGCGAAGGCGGCCUGCUGGGCUUUUACUGGCGCUGAGGCUCGAAAGUGUGGGGAGCAAACA